rnacentral:rRNA from 1 species
AGUGAACGCUGGCGGCGUGCUUAACACAUGCAAGUCGAACGAGAAACGGUCUAGCUUGCUAGAUGACAGUCUAAGUGGCGCACGGGUGAGUAAUAUAUAGGUAAUAUGCCUCUUACUAAGGGAUAACAGAUGGAAACGUCUGCUAAUACCUUAUAUGCCUUUAGGACUAAAGUCCGCAAGGGAAAGAUUUAUCGGUAAGAGAUUAGCCUGUACAGUAUCAGUUAGUUGGUGAGGUAAUGGCUCACCAAGACUAUGACACUUAACUGGUUUGAGAGGAUGAUCAGUCACACUGGAACUGAGACACGGUCCAGACUCCUACGGGAGGCAGCAGUGGGGAAUAUUGCACAAUGGACGAAAGUCUGAUGCAGCAACGCCGCGUGGAGGAUGACACAUUUCGGUGCGUAAACUCCUUUUAUAUGAGAAGAUAAUGACGGUAUCAUAUGAAUAAGGGUCGGCUAACUACGUG